GAUGAACGCUGGCGGCGCGCCUAACACAUGCAAGUCGAACGGUUAAGGCGCCUUCGGGCGCGAAUAAAGUGGCGAACGGCUGAGCAACACGUGGGCAACCUGCCCCUCGCACCGGGACAGCCUCGGGAAACCGUGGUUAAUACCGGAUACUCCGCGCCCCCCCGCAUGGGGGGAGCGGGAAAGCCCAGACGGCGAGGGAUGGGCCCGCGGCCUGUUAGCUAGUUGGUGGGGCAACGGCCCACCAAGGCAAUGAUGGGUAGCCGGGUUGAGAGACCGACCGGCCAGAUUGGGACUGAGACACGGCCCAG
rnacentral:rRNA from 1 species